AAUGCAUUAACUGCACAGAUGGGAGAUCACGGACUGGACUGAUCAUUGUUCUGAUCCUAGUGGUUGCGUUGAUCAUCUGUGUUCUGAUCUAUAAGAAACCUCAAUGUGUGAACAACUCUUCAGCUCCUUCAGAUCCAGGAAGUCCAGAUGAAUUACCCUCCAACAGCAAUGGUGGUGUUCCUAACGGUAAAUAUUAUUAUAUUGUGGGU